rnacentral:rRNA from 1 species
AUUGAACGCUGGCGGCAUGCCUUACACAUGCAAGUCGAACGGCAGCACGGGUGCUUGCACCUGGUGGCGAGUGGCGAACGGGUGAGUAAUACAUCGGAACGUACCUUAUUGUGGGGGAUAACGCAGCGAAAGCUGUGCUAAUACCACAUAAUCCCUAAGGGGGAAAGCGGGGGACCGUAAGGCCUCGCGCAAUUAGAGCGGCCGAUACCUGAUUAGCUAGUUGGUGAGGUAAAGGCUCACCAAGGCAACGAUCAGUAGCUGGUCUGAGAGGACGAUCAGCCACACUGGGACUGAGACACGGCCCAGACUCCUACGGGAGGCAGCAGUGGGGAAUUUUGGACAAUGGGGGCAACCCUGAUCCAGCAAUGCCGCGUGAGUGAAGAAGGCCUUCGGGUUGUAAAGCUCUUUUGUCAGGGAAGAAACUGCAGCUCUAACACAGUUUGCGAAUGACGGUACCUGAAGAAUAAGCACCGGCUAACUACGUGCCAGCAGCCGCCGUAA